GUAGGGAAUAUUGCGCAAUGGACGAAAGUCUGACGCAGCGACGCCGCGUGAGUGAUGAAGGCCUUAGGGUCGUAAAGCUCUGUUGAAUGGGAAGAAAAAAAUGACGGUACCAUUCGAGGAAGGACCGGCUAACUUCGUGCCAGCAGCCGCCGUAAUACGAGGGGUCCUAGCGUUGUUCGGAAUCAUUGGGCGUAAAGGGUGUGUAGGUGGCCAUGUAAGUCAGGUGUGAAAGCCCCGGGCUCAACCCGGGAAGUGCACUUGAUACUGCGUGGCUUGAGUACCGAAGAGGGUAGUGGAAUUCCAGGUGUAGUGGUGAAAUACGUAGAUAUCUGGAGGAACACCGGUGGCGAAGGCGGCUACCUGGUCGAGUACUGACACUGAGACACGAAAGCGAGGGGAGCAAAAGGGAUUAGAAACCCGGGUAGUCC
rnacentral:rRNA from 1 species